rnacentral:rRNA from 1 species
ACGCUCGACACCUACGUGAGGCAGCAGUGGGGAAUAUUGCACAAUGGGGGAAACCCUGAUGCAGCAACGCCGCGUGAAGGAAGACGGUUUUCGGAUUGUAAACUUCUGUUCUUAGUGAAGAUAGUGACGGUAGCUAAGGAGCAAGCCACGGCUAACUACGUGCCAGCAGCCGCGGUAAUCUGAGCGGGCUGGCAAGGC